rnacentral:rRNA from 1 species
UAGCGUAUAUUAAAGUUGUUGCAGUUAAAAAGCUCGUAGUUGAAUUUCGGGGUCAGUAGGUUGGUCGUGCCUCUGGUAUGCACUGGCUUUACUGAUUCCUCCUUCUUGAAGAACUGUAAUGUCAUUAAUUUGGUGUUGCAGGGAAACAGGACUGUUACUUUGAAAAAAUUAGAGUGUUUAAAGCAGGCAA